rnacentral:rRNA from 1 species
GAUGAACGCUGGCGGCGUGCCUAAUACAUGCAAGUCGAGCGAAUGGAUUAAGAGCUUGCUCUUAUGAAGUUAGCGGCGGACGGGUGAGUAACACGUGGGUAACCUGCCCAUAAGACUGGGAUAGCUCCGGGAAACCGGGGCUAAUACCGGAUAACAUUUUGAACCGCAUGGUUCGAAAUUGAAAGGCGGCUUCGGCUGUCACUUAUGGAUGGACCCGCGUCGCAUUAGCUAGUUGGUGAGGUAACGGCUCACCAAGGCAACGAUGCGUAGCCGACCGGAGAGGGUGAUCGGCCACACUGGGAAUGAGACACGGCCCAGACUCCUACGGGAGGUAGCAGUAGGGAAUCUUCCGCAAUGGACGAAAGUAUGACGGAGCAACGCCGCGUGAGCGAUGAAGGCUUUCGGGUCGUGAAACUCUGUUGUUAGGGAAGAACAAGUGCUAGUUGAAUAAGCUGGCACCUUGACGGUACCUAACCAGAAAGCCACGGCUAACUACGUGCCAGCAGCCGCGGUAA